GGGCAGGGGCCCGGCGGAAGCGCCGCUCUAGGCUGCAGCCGCGCCCCCAGCCGUAUUUCCGCGGGCGCUGAGCACUAGAGAGAGCGUCUUGUGGCUGCGGCCUGCCCCUCAGCCUCCUCCGCGCGGUUACCCCUGUACCCGCCGCCAUCCGUCCUGGCGCUCCGGAUGAGUCAAUGAGGGGCAGGGCCCGAGGAGUGGUCUUCCCAAGAACCCCUGGUGGCCUCCCAAGGCCGGUGCUGUGUACCUCCUCCCCGACAAAAGGGGAAACUGAGGCCCCGAGGGGAGUGGGAAGAGCCGGCUGGACGUCAGGCCCAGCCGCUGGUGCAGUGGUCCGUCCCCUCUGCCGGGGUGGGCCCCUCGGGUUUCGCGUGUCCUCGGGAAAGAGACUGGCGGGUGAGCCGCGCCCUCGGCCUUCGCUGGGCUAAGCCGACCCCAUGCAGACGUCAAACCCCCCUAGGUCGGCACAGCCUCUCUGCGGGGAGGCUUAGUGCCCCCUUGAGAAACGGCUUGGCAACGCUGUGCCCGGGGCCUUGCACGCGGGCUGAGGGGGCUAGAGACCUCGCGACUUUUACUCCCCCGACCCCGAUCUCCGACUCCUGACUUUGGAAGCCCCCAAAGCUGCUUUUCGGUUGCCUACAAAGUGUCGGUCAUUGUGCCACGUCCUUGGAACCGUGAACUCAUUUUCUCCUCAAUAACCUUUAAAAAGUAGCUGUAAAACCUCCAUUUUACAGACCAGUUGGCUGAGGUUUAAAUGGAGGACGCUCCCAGGGCCCCAGAGGGGCGAAUUCCAGACUCCUUUGCCAGGACCUUGUACUAAGCCCCUUCCCUACGCUUUUCCCUGCCUAGGCCUCGUGGGCUGUGCGGCUAUCCUGGAGACAGAUGACAGCUCUCCCUUGGAUGGCUUUGCUGGUUCCGCACCAGCCAGCGCCCCCAUUUUUCCUGCAGCACCCUGAUCUGCACUCCCUGAGGGGCUCCCACUGUCCGCGGUGUGAGGAUGUCCCUGGAUAGUCCACUGUGUGCAGAGGCAUGGGAGUUGUCAUGUUGGGAACAUGCUAGACCUCAGUAUCCUUGAGGGAUGCUGCCUUGGGUCUGGAAACUGUUAGAGGAAACCCCAAGAGGUGCAGGCACUGAGCCUCUCAGGACAAUGACCUGGGGUCCCAGCUCCCCUGGAGGGGCCUCCUCAUGAUUGUUUGGGGGUUGAUCACAGACCAAGAGUGACGAGUGAUGUCACCCUGUGACUCAUGGCUGGACCUUCUUGCCCCUAUUGUCUCAGCACAACAUUAUUCGACUUUUCCCUCAGCGUGGGUGGGCAGAGGAAAAGCCCUGUGGCUCUGGGGACUUGGGAUCCAGAGUUGAAGACCCUUCAGCUGGCUCUGCCCUGCCAGUGCCACAGAGUGCCAUGGCCCAGGAAGACAGGUUUUCUUCCAUCUAGGCCAGGCCAUCCAGUGGCCAUCCUCCGUGUCCUCCCGCCUCCUCCUGGUGUGACUUCUGAAAACCAAGAAUUUGUUCCUGUUGACUUUUUCUGUGCUAUGGACCAUUGUCCUCUCACCCACUCAAUAAAUCUUGAAACAUGCC
rnacentral:lncRNA from 1 species